rnacentral:rRNA from 1 species
UACGUAGGGUGCAAGCGUUAAUCGGAAUUACUGGGCGUAAAGCGUGCGCAGGCGGCUAUGCAAGUCAGAUGUGAAAUCCCCGGGCUCAACCUGGGAACUGCAUUUGAGACUGCAUGGCUAGAGUACGGCAGAGGGGGAUGGAAUUCCGCGUGUAGCAGUGAAAUGCGUAGAUAUGCGGAGGAACACCGAUGGCGAAGGCAGUCCCCUGGGCCUGUACUGACGCUCAUGCACGAAAGCGUGGGGAGCAAACAGG